CUACGUGCCAGCAGCCGCGGUAAUACGUAGGGUGCGAGCGUUAAUCGGAAUUACUGGGCGUAAAGCGAGCGCAGACGGUUACUUAAGCAGGAUGUGAAAUCCCCGGGCUCAACCUGGGAACUGCGUUCUGAACUGGGUGACUAGAGUGUGUCAGAGGGAGGUAGAAUUCCACGUGUAGCAGUGAAAUGCGUAGAGAUGUGGAGGAAUACCGAUGGCGAAGGCAGCCUCCUGGGAUAACACUGACGUUCAUGCUCGAAAGCGUGGGUAGCAAACAGGAUUAGAUACCCUGGUAGUCCACGCUGUAAACGAUGUCGAUUUGGGGGUUGAGCUUUAAGUUUGGCGCCCGUAGCUAACGUGAUAAAUCGACCGCCUGGGGAGUACGGCCGCAAGGUUAAAACUCAAAUGAAUUGACGGGGGCCCGCACAAGCGGUGGAGCAUGUGGUUUAAUUCGAUGCAACGCGAAGAACCUUACCUACUCUUGACAUCCAGAGAACAUUC
rnacentral:rRNA from 1 species